rnacentral:rRNA from 1 species
GACGAACGCUGGCGGCGUGCUUAACACAUGCAAGUCGAACGGAAAGGCCCUGCUUUUGUGGGGUGCUCGAGUGGCGAACGGGUGAGUAACACGUGAGUAACCUGCCCUUGACUUUGGGAUAACUUCAGGAAACUGGGGCUAAUACCGGAUAGGAGCUCCUGCUGCAUGGUGGGGGUUGGAAAGUUUCGGCGGUUGGGGAUGGACUCGCGGCUUAUCAGCUUGUUGGUGGGGUAGUGGCUUACCAAGGCUUUGACGGGUAGCCGGCCUGAGAGGGUGACCGGCCACAUUGGGCCUGCGAUACGGCCCAGACUCCUACGGGAGGCAGCAGUGGGGAAUAUUGCCCAAUGGGCGGACGCCUGAUGCAGCAACGCCGCGUGCGGGAUGACGGCCUUCGGGUUGUAAACCGCUUUCGCCUGUGACGAAGCGUGAGUGACGGUAAUGGGUAAAGAAGCACCGGCUAACUACGUG